rfam:Helianthus annuus linkage group 12, whole genome shotgun sequence.
GUCCCUUCAGGGACAUCCGAUAAAAUUGGAACGAUACUAAGAAGAUUAGCAUGGCCCGCACAAAUCAAGAAAUAGUCUAAAAAGAAAGUAAAUAAAAACAG